AAGACCUUGCGCUUUUGGAGCGGCCGAUGUCUGAUUAGCUUGUUGGUGAGGUAAAAGCUUACCAAGGCUUCGAUCAGUAGCUGGUCUGAGAGGACGGCCAGCCACACUGGGACUGAGACACGGCCCAGACUCCUACGGGAGGCAGCAGUGGGGAAUUUUGGACAAUGGGGGCAACCCCGAUCCAGCCAUGCCGCGUGAGUGAAGAAGGCCUUCGGGUUGUAAAGCUCUUUCAGCCGGAACGAAACGGUUACGGUUAAUACCCGUGACUACUGACGGUACCGGAAGAAGAAGCACCGGCUAACUACGUGCCAGCAGCCGCGGUAAUACGUAGGGUGCAAGCGUUAAUCGGAAUUACUGGGCGUAAAGCGUGCGCAGGUGGUUUUGUAAGUCAGAUGUGAAAUCCCCGGGCUUAACCCGGGAACU
rnacentral:rRNA from 1 species